rnacentral:rRNA from 1 species
CCCGCCCGCUGGCGGCAUGCCUAACACAUGCAAGUCGAACGAGACCUUCGGGUCUAGUGGCGCACGGGUGCGUAACGCGUGGGAAUCUGCCCUUGGGUUCGGAAUAACAGUUAGAAAUGACUGCUAAUACCGGAUGAUGUCUUCGGACCAAAGAUUUAUCGCCCAGGGAUGAGCCCGCGUAGGAUUAGCUUGUUGGUGGGGUAAAGGCCUACCAAGGCGACGAUCCUUAGCUGGUCUGAGAGGAUGAUCAGCCACACUGGGACUGAGACACGGCCCAGACUCCUACGGGAGGCGGGAGUGGGGAAUAUUGGACAAUGGGCGGAAGCCUGAUCCAGCAAUGCCGCGUGAGUGAUGAAGGCCUUAGGGUUGUAAAGCUCGUUUACCCGGGAUGAUAAUGACAGUACCGGGAGAAUAAGCCCCGGCUAACUCCGUG